ACGCCGCUGCAGCUGGCUGCUUUGUUCGCCAUCGAUCCCGCGGAGCUCGCCAUUUAACGGCCUGCAUUAGGACGGAGAGACGGCAGAAAACAUUUUGUCAAUAAUUGACGCCGGCCGGAUUGACCUGCUUUGGAGGUGAAUGCAAGGCAUGCGACUUGGUGCAGACGCUACAAGUAAAAUGGUUAGUCUCCAAAGGGCAGCGCCUUCCUAUUGGUCAUCCGGAGGCGACGUCAUCAUGCAGGGCUGAGCGCUUGACGGAGACUUGAGCUCCGAGUUAACCCACCUUACCAGCUCCUACCAAAAACUAUACGAGGGGAUGGGAAAGUUGUCUAAUUCCCACAGACAGAUUGAGCUGCUUGGAAUUGCCCUAUCGUUUUUCACUUUUGCUUUUUCGACACAACCAAAUUACGCACUGCAGGCCAUGCUUCUAUGUGGAGAAACAGCAAUACUGCAAUAUUCUCUAAAAAUGUGAAAACUAUUUAAAUCUCCAUCCCUAACAAUUAUCAUGAAAUCAAUCCCCCCUCCCCUGUUUUGUAGUCGUGUUUACUAUAAGAAUUGAUCCCAUCUGACGAUUGAAAUGAAACAGACACGCAUGUAAUAAUUAUGGUAACAAUAAUAAUAAUAACUCAUUCACUGCAUUUGAUGGCGACGGGCUCCAAUCAAUUUUGACUAGGAGGGAUGAUCUUGUUUUUAUUACAGUGUGAAAUUCAACGCACAUAUUCUGUUUUGUUUUGAUUUGAAUUGAUGGCAAUUGGGGAAAUAUCGCGACUAAAAAUAUAUAGUAAGCAGUGAUAAAGCACAAAUAAGCCUUGUGUAAGUUGGUUCGCAAAAAAAAAAAAAAUUUUUUUUCAAAUAUUAAAAAAAAAUUCGUCAUAGAAAUAAAUAUUUAAAAAAUGAAAAAAACAUUUUUUUUUAUUCCUCUAUAACACGAAAAACUGACGAAUAAAUGAAUCCAAUCAAUCCUUUUGCAUUUAAAUGAGUACUACACAUCUUAAACCAUUUACUCCCAUUGACAGCUAUAGACGUCCAGUCCACUGUAACCUAUGACACUUAAACAUAAUUUCACUGUCGUCCAUCAUAAAACGCGUUGAAAUAAUGAACACUGCUUUACACAUUUUUAUUGCUACAAAGCAUUAAAUCACCUCAUAAAAGAGCCAUAAAAAUACUAUAAUUACAUUCAGUCAAGGUAGUUGGAAGACCUUUUUGAUUAGCGUGCGCACUUUCCUCCACUUGCAGCCUUAAAAUUUCGAACAAUAAUGAUGGUGGACUGGCUUUUAUUUUGGGAGUAAAAGUGGAUAUAGCAUAAAUUAUCCCCUAAUUACACGCUAGUGUCGCCUCAAUUAUCCUCUUAUCAAGAACGGUGGCGGCGUUUAGUUUCACUUUUGCGCCUUUCUCCACAAUAACAACUAGCUACCUCGCUAUUAUCGUCAACUACGGUUAUUUGUGCGAUUUAAAAGUGCACAAGACGGCUUCCGGUAAUCAUUUUUACAGCAGACUGGGAGAGAUGCACAUGCAGGCGGACAAACUGUGGAUUGAUUUGAUGUUUUUAUGAUCAUAAACAGGACUCACAAAAGCCCCAUUACCAAUCUUCACCCCCUCCCCCCCUUCCCCUCACCCUCAACAGGUACGCCUCUUGGCAGCUCUGAGCCCGCCGUCUCCUUACCCCCCCUCCCUUGGUUGGCUUCCACAGCUGUGCGGAGCGAGGGGGCAGAUGACCGGAGAUUUGGCCCCUGGGAGAGCGCCGAGCCAUCCUGGUGCUAUUAGACUGCUGGCUAAUAAUAGGUGUUUCAGACUCGGGGAAGAUCAAUCAGGAGGGGGUGCGGGGAAUGUUCAGGCCAGCGCUUUUUACACAUCGGCCCAGAUGGAUGAAAUUACACUUGUCACUUUUUAGUUGCAUUACUCCCAAAUUGGUUGUCUACCCUUUUUUUCUCUCCUCCUCUCACCGCCUCAUUCCAGCUCUUGUUUUUCUCCAUUUUUUUUCUCGCCCCAGUUCAUGUGUCAAUGUCCUGCUAAAAGGAUUCAGCAGUGAAAUCCCUGUCAUUUUGUGCCCGGCCCUCCAGGAACAGCCCCACGGAUUCACUUAAAGGACAUUAGUUCCUUGUCUCCUCGCCAACAUUUUUAACGUUACGGCCAAGUGCGUGAUUGGGUAAAAGCGCAAGGAUGACAUUUUGCGAGGAGUGAAGCUUUCAUUUGGAUGAAAAGUGUCAGGAAUAUUCUAAUAUUCUCGCAUGCUUCGUGUCAUUUGAAUCUGAAUGUGUUUCUGAUAAAGGAGUCGACAUAUAUUUGGACUGACAAUAUGAUGGCUUUGAAUAUAUUUGUAAUAUCAACAUUAUUUUUUCUCUGUAUAAAAAGAUUGUGAGAUAAAUGCAUUUACCACCUGAUUUAUGUUGUUUAUUUUUAAAAUACGGAUUGUUUCCUAGCUAGUGUUGCUGUGAAAGUAUGUGUGAUUGAUUGUUUGUCUCUAUGAACCUAUGACUGAUUGGCCAUUAGUCUGAGGUGUUUUGCCGAAAUUAUAUUGGAUAGGCUUGAAAUCCCUUGCAAUUGUGACAUCCAUAAUUUAAUGCAAUAAUCAGUUCUAGAGAGACUGAAUGACUGAGUUAAAAUAUCAAUAUUCUAUAUUGAAGUCCACUUGAACCUCGACACUUUAUUUAGUUUAAAAAGGUUCAAAAGAUGGCAAUAAUCUGAACUAUUAUGAACAACUCAAGGCAUAAAGAAGCCUCCCGGCCUGGUCGACAAAACCCGGUGACUCUUCAAUAAAAUCUACUUAUAAUCCAGGUUUUAACAACUAUAACAAAAAAUAUUUUUUGCUAAUUUAUUGAAUAGGAUUGCUCAUUUAGCAACCAUGUGGUCUGAGAACAUUUGAUUAUUAGGAUUAUUACUCUGUGUGCUUUUAAUUUAAUAGAAAUAAAGAUACAGUGGUACCUCUACAUACAAAAUUAUUUCAUUCCAGGACCUUGUUUGUAAUUCAAAAUGGUUGUAUGUCGAGCAGGAUUUCCCCAUAAGAAUACAUUUUAUUCCAUUAAUUCGUUCCACAGCCCGAAAACCUACACUAAAUCCUCAGUAAAUGCUGCUGGUACUAUUGCAAAUAGCAAUUGAACACAGCAAAACAAAUGAAUUAUGAAUAAUAAUCGGAAUAGUAAUACAAUAAUAGUAAUAAUAAUAAUAAUAAUAAUAAUACCUGUAAUAAUGUAACAAAUCGGGUUCUAAUGUGGCGAAUAUGUUUUCCGUGGUGUACCUGAACGCACCGUGUGGCUGACUUGACGGAGUGAGAGAGGACAUUUUCACUUUGUUCAGCCAUAGACUUCAUAAUGUAUUGAUGGGACACGGGGUGCGGGGCCGAUUCAUAGGGGGCCUAUCUCCGUCAAAGCUGACCGAGUGGAAAUACAAAGAGCUUUUUCCGUUGAAAAUUCUUGUGAAUGAAUGCUUAAAUCCCUGAAUUCUUCAUAGAUAUGGACGUAAGACAGUCUCGAUUCUUGGUCAAAAGUUAAAAAAACAAAACAAAACAAAAACUUGCAGGUAGCAUUUAUUUUAAGUAAAUACAAUGGUACCUCUACAUACGAAGUUAAUUCGUUCCAGGACCUUGUUUGUAAGUCGAAAUGGUCGCACAGUAUGUCGAGCAGGAUUUUCCCAUUGGAAUACAUUAUAAUUUCAUUAAUUUGUUCCACAGCUCAAAAACCUACACUAAAUCCUUAAAAAAUACUGCUGGUACUAUUACAAAUGGCAAUUACAUAUAGAAAAACACAUUAAUUAUAAAUAAAAAUCAGAAUAAUAAUACAAUAAUAUUAAUAAUUCCU